CCAGCAGCCGCGGUAAUUCCAGCUCCAAUAGCGUAUAUUAAAGUUGUUGCAGUUAAAAAGCUCGUAGUUGGAUUUCUGGCGGGAGUGACCGUUCCGGGCUUGAUUGUCCGUGCAACGUGUCUUCUCCAGCCAUCCUCGCGGAGAACGUUGAUGCCAUUAACUUGGUGUGAACGGGACCCGCGUCGUUUACUGUGAAAAAAUUAGAGUGUUUAAAGCAGGCAAUCGGCUUGAAUACAUUAGCAUGGAAUAAUAAGAUAGGACUUUGGUACUAUUUUGUUGGUUUGCAUACCAAAGUAAUGAUUAAUAGGAACAGUUGUGGAUAUUCGUAUGAGCAUGUCAGAGGUGAAAUUCUUGGAUUUUGAUCAGACGAACGACUGCGAAAGCAUUUAU
rnacentral:rRNA from 1 species